GGGGUUAUCUCAGUUGAAUUUGAUGCAGUAUGCAUCUCAGUUCACAAGAGUCAGAGACAGAUUUUGCUAGAGACAAUGUAUUUGGGUAUUCUAUUGAAACAGAGAUGGUCCAUGCUGCACAGACAGAUGA
rnacentral:misc_RNA from 1 species